UACAGAGGGUGCAAGCGUUGUCCGGAAUCACUGGGCGUAAAGGGCGCGUAGGCGGCCUGAUAAGUCGGGGGGUGAAAUUCUGCGGCUUAACCGCAGGACGGCCUUCGAGACUGUCGGGCUUGAGCACGGUAGAGGCUGGUGGAAUUCCCGGUGUAGCGGUGGAAUGCGUAGAGAUCGGGGAAGAACAUCGGUGGCGAAGGCGGCCAGCUGGGCCGUUGCUGACGCUGAGGCGCGACAGCGUGGGGGAGCAAACAGG
rnacentral:rRNA from 1 species